rnacentral:rRNA from 1 species
GAUGAACGCUGGCGGCGUGCCUAAUACAUGCAAGUCGAGCGAACGGACGAGAAGCUUGCUCCUCUGACGUUAGCGGCGGACGGGUGAGUAACACGUGGAUAACCUACCUAUAAGACUGGGAUAACUUCGGGAAACCGGAGCUAAUACCGGAUAAUAUUUUGAACCGCAUGGUUCAAUAGUGAAAGACGGUUUUGCUGUCACUUAUAGAUGGAUCCGCGCUGCAUUAGCUAGUUGGUAAGGUAACGGCUUACCAAGGCAACGAUGCAUAGCCGACCUGAGAGGGUGAUCGGCCACACUGGAACUGAGACACGGUCCAGACUCCUACGGGAGGCAGCAGUAGGGAAUCUUCCGCAAUGGGCGAAAGCCUGACGGAGCAACGCCGCGUGAGUGAUGAAGGUCUUCGGAUCGUAAAACUCUGUUAUUAGGGAAGAACAUAUGUGUAAGUAACUAUGCACGUCUUGACGGUACCUAAUCAGAAAGCCACGGCUAACUACGUG